rnacentral:lncRNA from 1 species
UAGCGUGUGGUUCUCCUAUCGCAAUCGGUAACAACGGUCAGACAGUGGCGGAUAUGGAUUCCGGCGACGGCAAACGGACCACAGGUUGCCACGUGGUGGCCAUGCCUUACCCAGGUAGAGGCCACGUCAACCCCAUGAUGAACCUCUGCAAGUUACUAGCUUCAAGACAAGAUGAUAUCCUCAUCACCUUCGUUCUCACUGAAGAAUGGCUCGAUUUGAUCAGCUCCGAGGAUAAGCCGGAAAACGUACGCUUCGCAACGAUCCCCAAUGUGAUUCCUUCGGAGCAAGUUCGCGCGGCGGACUUCCCCGGCUUCGUCGAAGAUGUCUCGACGAAAAUGGAAGCUCCUUUCGAGCAGCUCCUGGAUCGGCUUGAGCCGCCAGUUACUGCUCUCAUAGCUGAUACUCAUGUAAUGUGCGCCUUCGUCGUCGGGAACCGGAGGAAUAUCCCAGCGGCGUCGUUGUGGCCGAUGUCGGCGACGAUGUUUUCGGUGUUCCACCAUUUUGAUCUGCUCAUUCAAAACCAACAUUACCCAGUUGAUUUGUCAGUUAUUACAAAACGAGAAGGUCUCAAAUCUCAAAUCUCGUUAUAUAGAUUCUCCAUUUACUGAUGAACAAGUGUGGAUGUGACAGAAAGGGGCGAGGAGCGAGUGGGCUACAUUCCUGGAAUUUCUUCAACGCGCAUAUCUGAUCUUCCGACAGUCUUCUCCGGCGACGGCCAGAGAGUCUUGAAUCGGAUUCUGGAAAUGUGCUCUUGGGUGCCUAAAGCGCAGUAUCUUGUGUUCACUUCUGUGUACGAGCUUGAACACGAGGCGUUGGAUGCUUUGAAGCGAAAGUUUUCGUUUCCCGUCUACACACUUGGUCCUACUAUACCUUACUUCAAUCUGGGAGACGAGUCCAAAGUUGCCACCACUCACAGUGACCUUAACUACAUGAAAUGGCUGGAUUCUCAGCCGAAGGCUUCCGUCUUGUACAUCUCACUGGGAAGUUUUCUUUCUGUUUCGAGUGCCCAAAUGGAUGAGAUUGCAGCCGGGUUGCGGAGCAGUGGCGUCCGGUUCUUGUGGGUGGGGCGUGAUAAAGCUUCCCAGUUGCAGGAGGGUUGUGGGGAUGGAGGAUUGGUGGUGCCUUGGUGUGACCAACUGAAGGUGCUGUCCCAUUCUUCUGUAGGGGGGUUUUGGAGUCAUUGCGGGUGGAAUUCAACUCUGGAAGCUGUUUUUGCAGGCGUCCCAAUGCUGACAUUUCCUAUAUUUUGGGACCAAGUCCCCAACAGUAAGAAAAUUGUGGAGGAUUGGAAGAUUGGGUGGAGAGUGAAGAGGGAGGUGGGAUGGCAAAAUUUGGUGACCAGAGAAGAGAUUAGUGGGCUUGUGAAGAGGUUUAUGGAUUUGGAAAGCAUUGAGGUGAAAGAGAUGAGGAAAAGAGCAAAAGACCUUGAGGAGGUAUGUAGAGGAGCAAUAGCAAAAGGUGGUUCAACUGAUACUAAUCUUGAUGCCUUUCUCUCGCACAUUUCACAAUCCCGCCGCCGCUGAUCACACAGCUCUGAAUUUGGCCUUCGGAGGUGAAAUUUUGUUUUCACGUUGAAGGCCACACAAAAAUUUGAUUUCUGUGUGGAUUUUCUCUUCGGUUUCCUCUUGGAAUUAAAAUAAAAUUGCCAUGGAUUAUGGAUUAUGGAUUAUCUUGAGGAAUUUUUUUUAUAUUCUAGAAAAAGGGGAAAUAGGCAAACCCCACCUUAGUAGUCUUAACUCUUACGCAAGGGUUUGGAGUCUGGACGACCCAAUUCAAUUGGGGAAAAGCUGACUAUGCAUGCUGUACUCUAUUGGGCCAAGUUGGUUGUCCCAUGUGGCCCCACUGGACUAUUAUUAUAUUGACUGGCAAUAUUUAGUGGCCAUGUGAAUGAAUGUUUUUGUUGUGGGAUAAUUUUUGGGUGUCAUACUGAAAAGUAGUCACCAAUCAUUGUACCUUAGCCUAUAUUCAAAUCUGUACUUGGAUCAUGAAGUUCUGUAUAUCACCUAUUGGGAGCAGAAGCAUUUUCCUUUGGUCCAUGUUACAUCUUUAGCCUGUGAAAAAAUUGACUUUAACCAUACUAAAUUUUGCUUUGUUAUAAUCAUAAAACACAUGAAAACUUGUUGAAAGGAAAACUAUUGGCAGGCCCCAACCCACAUGAAUUGGGCUUUGUUGGACCUGAAUUUCUCAUCUCAUUGUUUUGGUGGUGAUAUCAAGCCCCACGUUUACAAAUUGGCCCCCAACUUGUGGGCUCGGUCUAGCCCAAAGCUAUUACGCUGAUGAGUUAGGGUAUUUCUCAUGUGCUGUAAAGCUCUCUUCUCGUCACUUUAGGCGACAGUCGAACAAAAUAAGCGAUACCAUCUUUUCCAUAAGUUGAGUUUAUUAAUGAGCAACUUGCAAAAAUUUUAAUUUUCAAUUAAAUUAAGAGAAAAUUAAUAUAAAUGAUUAAAUAUAAUUUUCUAAUAAAAAAUAUAUUUUAUUUUUAUUUUAUAUAAAUACAAAAUUAAAAGUUUUAAUAAAGUAAAAUAUUAGAAUCACAACCAAGUUUUUAUAUAUUUUUUAAAUUAAAAAUAUUAAAAAUUUUAAUUUUAAAAAAUUACAAUUACAUUAAAGUAAUCAUAAGUAAAAAGUUUAAAAAUUAGGAUAAUUGAUUUUAAUUUUCACAUGAAAUUUUUUAUAAAAAAUAUAAGCAAUAAAAUAAUAUAAUAAAUAUAUUUUUAUUUAAUUAGUAUAUGAUAAAUAUUUUAUUUAAUAUGAAUAUAUAAAAUCUUAUGUUUUAAAUUUCCAAAAUUAUUUAUUAUAUAUUAAUGUUUAUUUAUUUAUUAUUAUUAUUUUAUAUUUAAAGUGUAUAUUAAUAAUUAAAAUCAAUAAAUAUGAAAAGAUCAAAUGGUAAACGAGAAUAAAUUUUUUUUAAAAUGUAUUAUUUUCUAGGUAAAAUGAAGAAAGAGGAAAAAUAAUGUCACAUGGUUAGUAAUGUGUGAAACAAGUACGUAUGAUGGAGUUUUUUUUUGACUUAUUAUUUUAAGGUUUUAAAAAAAUAAAAACAUAUGGAAUAGUCGGGUAACAGAGAGAAAAGUAGGAGGAGAAUUUUAAAAUUUGAAUGAUGUUAUAUGUUUAUUGAAUUAUUUUGUAAUAAUUCUAUUUUUGGAUAACGUACCGUUACCAUUACAUGAUUCACCCUUUUAAGUUUGGUUGGAGUGCGAAGAACCGUCAUCACCUUCAUUGUUUACUGGACCCACCUUCGGGAUGUGGGCUUUGUUGGGCUAGAUAUCUCAUUCGGUUAUUCAGCCCAACACUCCACACAUUAAGAGACGUGGUGAAACAGCAGUCUGAAAGCUUUUUCGGCUGGUCUGUGCCGCACAAGUAGCCAUCAAAUGAAGGAAUUCUAUCUGAAAUUGAACUGCGUGGAAACUCAGGAAAAAAGGGAAAAAGAAAGAGCCAUCAAGGUGGUGGCUGCGGGGACUUUUCUUAUUUCAGUGUCUUCCACAGAAGAAGCCUGGUAUGGACUCCGGCGACGGCGAAGCAACCACUGCAUGCCACGUGGUGGCCAUGCCAUACCCAGGUAGAGGCCACGUCAACCCCAUGAUGAACCUCUGCAAGCUACUAGCUUCAAAAAAGGACGAUAUCCUCAUCACCUUCGUUCUCACUGAGGAGUGGCUCGGCUUGCUCGGUUCCGGUGAUAAGCCGGAUCAGGUGCGGUUCGAAACGAUCCCUAAUGUGAUCCCUUCGGAGCGAGUUCGCGCAGCUGACUUCCCUGGCUUCAUCGAAGCCGUGUCAACGAAGAUGGAAGCCCCUUUCGAGCAGCUCCUGGAUCGGCUGGAGCCGCAGGUGACUACUAUUAUAGCCGAUAGUAACCUGCUGUGGCUCGUGGGAGUUGGACAGCGGAAGAAUAUUCCGGUAGCGUCGUUGUGGCCGAUGUCGGUGGCGGUGUUUUCGGUGUUCCAUCAUUUUGAUCUCCUUGUUCAAAACCAACACUUCCCAAUUGAUCUGUCGGGUACGUUAGGCGACAUCUGUACUGAACGAAACAUUUCAUAUGAGCCAAAAAAUAAGAUUCUUAAAGUACGAUUUGGUAAAGAAACUUUCUAGACAGUUGGCUUAGGUUUGAUUUUUUAUAAUUAUUCAAAAUUUCUUGUUUAAAUAUUACAACUUUUUAAUGAUUUUUAAAAAGGUUAUUAAGUAAUAAAUUAUUUAAAAAGAUAAAUUAGCAUGUAAAAUUAUUAUGAAUUGGAUUUUUAAUAAUAAAAAAACUAUGAAAAGUUUAAGAGGAAACAAUAUUUCAAAAAUAAUUCUUAAAAGACAGCUUUAAAGAAUAAUUUUUUUAUCAUGACUAAAAUUUAUUGGAGAAUUUAAAUAUAAAUAAUAGUUUAGAUUUGUUUGAAAAACCCUUUAGAAAACAAUUUUGAAAAACUAUCUUGUUGAAAGCAAUUUUUGAAAAUAUUUUCUAAUAUUUUUUAGAACAAAAAUCCACUUAAGAAUUAAAAAAAAAAAAUUAUUUUUUAUUUUUUUUAUUUUUUAUGUUUGAAAACUAAUUUUAUUUUUAAUCUUUCUUAAUAUGCAUAUUAAGUAAUUUUCUAUUUAAUUUAUCGGAGAAAUGAUAAUUACCGUGAUAAAAGAAUAAAACUUCAGUUUGGUAGGGCAUAUAGAUUUCAAAUGCCCAAUAUCAAUGAACUUUGCUUUGCUUGUGCAUGCGGCUCUAUGGCAGAAAGGGGAGAGGAGCGAGUGGAAUACAUCCCGG